GAUGAACGCUAGCUACAGGCUUAACACAUGCAAGUCGAGGGGCAGCGGGAUUGAAGCUUGCUUCAAUUGCCGGCGACCGGCGCACGGGUGAGUAACGCGUAUCCAACCUUCCGUACACUCAGGGAUAGCCUUUCGAAAGAAAGAUUAAUACCUGAUGGUAUGAUGAGAUUGCAUGACAUCAUCAUUAAAGAUUUAUCGGUGUACGAUGGGGAUGCGUUCCAUUAGGUAGUAGGCGGGGUAACGGCCCACCUAGCCAACGAUGGAUAGGGGUUCUGAGAGGAAGGUCCCCCACAUUGGAACUGAGACACGGUCCAAACUCCUACGGGAGGCAGCAGUGAGGAAUAUUGGUCAAUGGACGAGAGUCUGAACCAGCCAAGUAGCGUGAAGGAUGAAGGUCCUACGGAUUGUAAACUUCUUUUAUAAGGGAAUAAACCCUCCCACGUGUGGGAGCUUGUAUGUACCUUAUGAAUAAGCAGCGGCUAACUCCGUG
rnacentral:rRNA from 1 species